rnacentral:rRNA from 1 species
UUGGCGGACGGGUGGAGUAACGCGUGGGCAACCUGCCUUACACAGGGGGAUAACACUUAGAAAUAGGUGCUAAAACCGCAUAAGCGCACAGCUUCGCAUGAAGCGGUGUGAAAAACUCCGGUGGUGUAAGAUGGACCCGCGUCUGAUUAGCUUGUUGGCGGGGUAACGGCCCACCAAGGCGACGAUCAGUAGCCGGCCUNAGAGGGCGGACGGCCACAUUGGGACUGAGACACGGCCCAGACUCCUACGGAAGGCAGCAG